rnacentral:rRNA from 1 species
CACUCCUACGGGAGGCAGCAGUGGGGAAUAUUGGACAAUGGGCGCAAGCCUGAUCCAGCCAUGCCGCGUGAGUGAUGAAGGCCCUAGGGUUGUAAAGCUCUUUCACCGGUGAAGAUAAUGACGGUAACCGGAGAAGAAGCCCCGGCUAACUUCGUGCCAGCAGCCGCGGUAAUACGAAGGGGGCUAGCGUUGUUCGGAUUUACUGGGCGUAAAGCGCACGUAGGCGGACUAUUAAGUCAGGGGUGAAAUCCCGGGGCUCAACCCCGGAACUGCCUUUGAUACUGGUAGUCUUGAGUUCGAGAGAGGUGAGUGGAAUUCCGAGUGUAGAGGUGAAAUUCGUAGAUAUUCGGGGGAACACCAGUGGCGAAGGCGGCUCACUGGCUCGAUACUGACGCUGAGGUGCGAAAGCGUGGGGAGCAAACAGGAUUAGAUACCCCAGUAGUCCCA